GACGUAGGGCGCGAGCGUUGUCCGGAUUUAUUGGGCGUAAAGAGCUCGUAGGCGGUUUGCUAAGACAGGUGUGAAAUCCCCGGGCUAACCUGGGAACUGCGCUUGUAACUGGCAAGCUAGAGUGUGGCAGAGGGGGGUGGAAUUCCAGGUGUGAGCAGUGAAAUGCGUAGAGAUCUGGAGGAACACCGAUGGCGAAGGCAGCCCCCUGGGCUA
rnacentral:rRNA from 1 species